GAGGGUGUAGUUCAGUGGUGGAGCGCAUGCUUGAUGCAAGAGGUCCUGGGUUCAAUCCCCAGUGCCUCCA
rnacentral:tRNA from 1 species